CAUGUGCAGUGAGAGAGAGAAGUACAGGGUAUUAUUAGGACACCCGUGAGGAUAAAGCACCUCACCAGUCUGGAAUAGUCAGAAGAGGCUCCAUGGAGUUGGUUGUAAGCUAGGUCUCAAAGGCUGGGUAGGAACUGAUCAAGCAAAUGCAGGUAAGGGUGGAUGUAGGUGGGCCUUCCGGGUGGAGGAGACAGCAGGGACAAAGGCAGAGAGGAGAGCAGCAGCAAGGGGUGUGGUGAAGGAUAGAAUGAGAGGCAGAGUGUGAGGACAGCUGGCCAUGGGGAGGUGGGCAAAGGCGGCAUCACAGAGGGCUCCGUGUACGUCAGCAGAAAGCUUUGGCUCUAUCUGAAGGAGUGGGAGCCACGGAUGAGCUGUACACCAGGGAAUACUGGCCAGCAGAUAGUGCUGUAGGGCCAAGAACAGAACAAGUUCUGUGCUUCCUCUGCCCCCGGGAAGAUUGCCUGUGUUGCUGGAAGGACUUCCUCCUAACUGCCCAGGCCUGCCCAGAGGAAGAGGCAGGAACUCUGUCUGGAACAACAUUCAGAAGAGAUCUUUUCUCCUUGCUCUCACCUGUCUGAUCCAUCUUGAAUAAAUUGUUUUUUUUCCUGCCA